ACGGCUCAGUAACACGUGGCUAAUCUGCCCUUGGGAUAGGAACAACCCCGGGAAACUGGGGCUAAUUCCCAAUAGGCGAAGAACUCUGGAAUGAGUCUUUACCAGAAAAGACGCUUGCGUUACGCUCGUAGGCGUCGCCCAAGGAUGAGGCCGCGACCGAUCAGGUUGUUGGUGAGGUAAUGGCUCACCAAGCCUUUUACCGGUGCGGGCCGUGAGAGCGGGAGCCCGGAGAUGGGCACUGAGACAAGGGCCCAGGCCCUACGGGGCGCAGCAGUCGCGAAAACUUUGCAAUAAGCGAAAGCUUGACAGGGCUAUCCCGAGUGCCAUCCGCUGAGGAAGGCUUUUACCCAGUCUAGAACGCUGGGGGAAUAAGGAGAGGGCAAGUCUGGUGUCAGCCGCCGCGGUAAUACCAGCUCUCCGAGUGGUGUGGAUGUUUAUUGGGCCUAAAGCAUCCGUAGCUGGCUAAGUUAGUCCCUUGUUAAAUCCACCGAAUUAAUCGUUGGAUUGCGGGGGAUACUGCUUGGCUAGGGGACGAGAGAGGCAGACGGUAUUUCCGGGGUAGGGGUGAAAUCCUAUAAUCCCGGGAAGACCACCAGUGGCGAAGGCUGUCUGCUAGAACGCGCCCGACGGUGAGGGAUGAAAGCUGGGGGAGCGAACCGGAUUAGAUACCCGGGUAGUCCCAGCUGUAAACGAUGCAGGCUAGGUGUUUGGACGGCCACGUGCCGUUCUAGUGCCGCAGGGAAGCUGUUAAGCCUGCCGCCUGGGGAGUACGAUCGCAAGAUUGAAACUUAAAGGAAUUGGCGGGGGAG
rnacentral:rRNA from 1 species